rnacentral:rRNA from 2 species
AUUGAUUGGUGCUUGCAUCAUGAUUUACAUUUGAGUGAGUGGCGAACUGGUGAGUAACACGUGGGAAACCUGCCCAGAAGCGGGGGAUAACACCUGGAAACAGAUGCUAAUACCGCAUAACAACUUGGACCGCAUGGUCCGAGCUUGAAAGAUGGCUUCGGCUAUCACUUUUGGAUGGUCCCGCGGCGUAUUAGCUAGAUGGUGGGGUAACGGCUCACCAUGGCAAUGAUACGUAGCCGACCUGAGAGGGUAAUCGGCCACAUUGGGACUGAGACACGGCCCAAACUCCUACGGGAGGCAGCAGUAGGGAAUCUUCCACAAUGGACGAAAGUCUGAUGGAGCAACGCCGCGUGAGUGAAGAAGGGUUUCGGCUCGUAAAACUCUGUUGUUAAAGAAGAACAUAUCUGAGAGUACUGUUCAGGUAUUGACGGUAUUUAACCAGAAAGCCACGGCUAACUACGUGCCAGCAGCCGCGGUAAUACGUAGGUGGCAAGCGUUGUCCGGAUUUAUUGGGCGUAAAGCGAGCGCAGGCGGUUUUUUAAGUCUGAUGUGAAAGCCUUCGGCUCAACCGAAGAAGUGCAUCGGAAACUGGGAAACUUGAGUGCAGAAGAGGACAGUGGAACUCCAUGUGUAGCGGUGAAAUGCGUAGAUAUAUGGAAGAACACCAGUGGCGAAGGCGGCUGUCUGGUCUGUAACUGACGCUGAGGCUCGAAAGUAUGGGUAGCAAACAGGAUUAGAUACCCUGGUAGUCCAUACCGUAAACGAUGAAUGCUAAGUGUUGGAGGGUUUCCGCCCUUCAGUGCUGCAGCUAACGCAUUAAGCAUUCCGCCUGGGGAGUACGGCCGCAAGGCUGAAACUCAAAGGAAUUGACGGGGGCCCGCACAAGCGGUGGAGCAUGUGGUUUAAUUCGAAGCUACGCGAAGAACCUUACCAGGUCUUGACAUACUAUGCAAAUCUAAGAGAUUAGACGUUCCCUUCGGGGACAUGGAUACAGGUGGUGCAUGGUUGUCGUCAGCUCGUGUCGUGAGAUGUUGGGUUAAGUCCCGCAACGAGCGCAACCCUUAUUAUCAGUUGCCAGCAUUAAGUUGGGCACUCUGGUGAGACUGCCGGUGACAAACCGGAGGAAGGUGGGGAUGACGUCAAAUCAUCAUGCCCCUUAUGACCUGGGCUACACACGUGCUACAAUGGAUGGUACAACGAGUUGCGAACUCGCGAGAGUAAGCUAAUCUCUUAAAGCCAUUCUCAGUUCGGAUUGUAGGCUGCAACUCGCCUACAUGAAGUCGGAAUCGCUAGUAAUCGCGGAUCAGCAUGCCGCGGUGAAUACGUUCCCGGGCCUUGUACACACCGCCCGUCACACCAUGAGAGUUUGUAACACCCAAAGUCGGUGGGGUAA